UACGGAGGGGGCGAGCGUUGUUCGGAAUUAUUGGGCGUAAAGCGCAUGUAGGCGGCUUCGCAAGUCAGAAGUGAAAUCCCUGGGCUCAACCGAGGACCUGCUUUUGAAACUGCGAGGCUUGAGUGCGGGAGGGGAGAGCGGAAUUCCUGGUGUAGCAGUGAAAUGCGUAGAUAUCAGGAGGAACACCGGUGGCGAAGGCGGCUCUCUGGACCGUUACUGACGCUGAGAUGCGAAAGCGUGGGGAGCAAACAGG
rnacentral:rRNA from 1 species